GGUGAACGCUAGCUACAGGCUUAACACAUGCAAGUCGAGGGGAAACGGCAUCGAAAGCUUGCUUUUGAUGGGCGUCGACCGGCGCACGGGUGAGUAACGCGUAUCCAACCUGCCCACCACUUGGGGAUAACCUUGCGAAAGUAAGACUAAUACCCAAUGACGUCUCUAGAAGACAUCUGACAGAGAUCAAAGAUUUAUCGGUGAUGGAUGGGGAUGCGUCUGAUUAGCUUGUGGGCAGGGUAACGGCCCACCAAGGCGACGAUCAGUAGGGGUUCUGAGAGUAAGGUCCACCACAUUGGAACUGAGACACGGACCAAUCUCCGACGGGAGGCAGCAGUGAGGAAUAUUGGGCAAUGGACGAGAGUCUGAACCAGCCAAGUAGCGUGCAGGAGGACGGCCCUAGGGGAUGUAAACUGCUUUUAUAAGGGAAUAAAGUGAGUCUCGGUAGACUUUUUGCAUGUACCUUAUGAAUAAGGACCGGCUAAUUCCGUG
rnacentral:rRNA from 1 species